rnacentral:rRNA from 1 species
GAUGAACGCUGGCGGCGUGCCUAAUACAUGCAAGUAGAACGCUGAAGCUUGGUGCUUGCACCGAGCGGAUGAGUUGCGAACGGGUGAGUAACGCGUAGGUAACCUGCCUGGUAGCGGGGGAUAACUAUUGGAAACGAUAGCUAAUACCGCAUAACAGUAGAUAUUGCAUGAUAUCUGCUUGAAAGGUGCAAAUGCAUCACUACCAGAUGGACCUGCGUUGUAUUAGCUAGUUGGUGAGGUAACGGCUCACCAAGGCGACGAUACAUAGCCGACCUGAGAGGGUGAUCGGCCACACUGGGACUGAGACACGGCCCAGACUCCUACGGGAGGCAGCAGUAGGGAAUCUUCGGCAAUGGGGGGAACCCUGACCGAGCAACGCCGCGUGGGUGAAGAAGGUUUUCGGAUCGUAAAGCUCUGUUGUAAGAGAAGAACGAGUGUGAGAGUGGAAAGUUCACAGUGUGACGGUAUCUUACCAGAAAGGGACGGCUAACUACGUG